rnacentral:rRNA from 1 species
UACAGAGGGUGCAAGCGUUAAUCGGAUUUACUGGGCGUAAAGCGUGCGUAGGCGGUUUGCUAAGUCGGUUGUGAAAUCCCAAGGCUCAACCUUGGAACUGCCUUUGAUACUGGGGAUCUCGAGUCCGGAAGAGGUUGGUGGAACUGCGAGUGUAGAGGUGAAAUUCGUAGAUAUUGGGAAGAACACCGGUGGCGAAGGCGGCGACCUGGUCCAUUACUGACGCUGAGGCGCGACAGCGUGGGGAGCAAACAGG